GGAAGCCAGGUAAUUCCAGAGACUCAGACCCAAGCCCCAGCGAUCGUCCAGACCGCCCUCUUCUUCCCUGGGGUACUGGCUGCAGUUCCCUGACCUUUUCCGGUCGUGUUAACCUGGUAGCGGUCCAUGGCCCAUCCUGCAUUCUGGUUGGAAUAGAGGUCUUUGCUAAAGGAGUCCCCUUGGGAAAGGGUGCCGCUUUUCUCUUUGAUGACAUCUCCAAAGGAUGAAGAGGCCUUACUUUUCAGUCUGUUCUUGAUCCCGUUCUUGGUCAUUUAAUCUGCUCUAGGGUAUGGACUUCUAGACUUGCCUGCCUACCGGAUUCCCGUGAUUAUUGAUUCAUUGAACGGAUAUUGACAGUGGAGGGGGCCCUUCAGUCUUUUCGCAAUCAGGUUGUUGGGAUCAGUAGUCAUCAGUUUGAGCGCUCAGCUUGGUCCAGACCCUCAGUGCUGGAGACCCACCGGGAAAUUCUAGUCUUGUUUAGCCUCCAACCCUACAUCUCCUCCUAGAGUCGGAAAGGCGAGGCCGCUGCUUCU